rnacentral:rRNA from 1 species
AGAGUUUGAUCCUGGCUUAGGAUGAACGCUGGCGGCGCGCUUAACACAUGCAAGUCGAACGGUUAAAGCACCUCCGGGUGUGCAUAAAGUGGCGAACGGCUGAGUAACACGUGGGCAACCUGCCCCCCGCACCGGGAUAGCCUCGGGAAACCGUGGGUAAUACCGGAUACUCCGCCACCCCCGCAUGGGGGAGGCGGGAAAGCGUACACGGCGGGGGAUGGGCCCGCGGCCUGUUAGCUCGUUGGCGGGGUAACGGCCCACCAAGGCGAUUAUGGGUAGCCGGGUUGAGAGACCGACCGGCCAGAUUGGGACUGAGACACGGCCCAGACUCCUACGGGAGGCAGCAGUGGGGAAUCUUGCACAAUGGGCGAAAGCCUGAUGCCAGCGACGCCGCGUGCGGGACGAAGGCCCUCGGGUUGUAAACCGCUUUCAGCAGGGACGAGGCGCAAGUGACGGUACCUGCAGAAGAAGCCCCGGCUAACUACGUGCCAGCCGCUGC